rfam:Picoides pubescens contig23385, whole genome shotgun sequence.
UCUCUGUGAGGUCUCAAUAGAUCCUGUUUACCCUUCACUGUGCACUCAGUAGGAUAGGAGGGAAGUGAAGAAACCUGUGGCUUAGAGA